rnacentral:lncRNA from 13 species
CGGUGAUAGGUUUAUUUUUUUCUACACUGUCUUGUUGUCUUAAACAAUUUCCUGGUAAAUAUAGCUGACUCCUGAAGCACGUUCUAUUUCAGUACCGCAUUUCCCACGAGCAACCAAGAAGGAGAACUUGGCACACAGAAAGCGCAGGCCUUUGGUCAACAGAUACAUCUGCAACAGUGACGCUUGCAGUGAUAUGUGGGGAUACGUGUCUCAGACCCAGGCCAGGGAUGAGGAAGUGCACUGCUGUCUGCAGUACCUCUCAGAGCUGAGGGCCUGCAGUUGGAGACACAUGUCCAUGGCAGAAGAUCAGCUACUUUAGCAGCUAAUUAGUGAGAGGGGUUAUGCUUGACAUUUGGAAAGUCCUUAAGUGAGCCAUGCUGGAGUGAGAAGCUGAAUAACGUCCUUACACUAUCUGUCACAUCGUUUAUGUUCACUUCUCUUGGCCUGGCCUCAGCACACCGCAUAAAUCUACAGCUGCAGAAACCAAACUCUCAUAUAAAAUUGAAGGAUUUAUUUUGAGGUAUUGAAAGGUUUAUGGCUGAAAAAGUUAAAAUUUGCCGAAUCGGCAUUUGGAGGACUCUUCCCUUACGCCUCACCCCUCUUGGCUUUCCAAUUCUGUUCUCUAAAUUUCUGUCUCCACAGGGACACCAGGUAGCCAGGAAGAAACACUGACAUGGAAGGAAUUGUCCAGACUUCACCUACUCAUGGCCUUUUGUGGCUUCACAUUUCAACCUGAGUAGUUCUCAGAAGCUGUCAUUAGGAUGCUAAGACCCAUACACAAGAAAACUAUAACAAUUAUUCAGUUCUGCUCUGGUGCCGGUCGCAUUUUGGACUCCAGGAACUUCAGUCCUUUUCAAGGACUCGUUUUGCAGUGCAGUGGAAGUGCCUCAGGCUGUGGCUGGCGUUUGAAGGGCUGCUCCACACAUAUCAAUCAUCCUUUGACAAGAUCUGGAAGAAAAACAAAACAAAACAAAAACCACCCCGCAAAAAGGAGUUCAGAAAAACGUUAAGUGCAUAUCCUGGACCAGUUUGGGUCUCCAGACUGAAUGAAGCCAGUCAGCUGGGAUUCUGGUUGAGACUCAGACUCGGAAGAAACUUGUGGGAUUCGGUGUUUUUUUCUGGGAAAUAUUGGCUGAAAACCACAUUCACCCCAAAUUGCUGUGUGAAUGAAACACAUGGGUUUUCUUUGUGUUCUGAAUAAUUACAGUGGUGGCCCCAAGCUUCUAUUUUCCCUGUGUUUUUACAGAGUUAACCAAAAUAGCUUUGUACAAAUAACAAAAAAUAUGAAAAAGUAUAUGCACCUUGUCAUUGCUUUGCCAAUUGGAAAUACUCUUAGUACACAUGAACAACAAUAAAAAGCUGUGGCUUCAGCUUUUAAGAUGCUGA